GACGAACGCUGGCGGCGUGCUUAACACAUGCAAGUCGAACGGAAAGGCCCUGCUUUUGUGGGGUGCUCGAGUGGCGAACGGGUGAGUAACACGUGAGUAACCUGCCCUUGACUUUGGGAUAACUUCAGGAAACUGGGGCUAAUACCGGAUAGGAGCUCCUGCUGCAUGGUGGGGGUUGGAAAGUUUCGGCGGUUGGGGAUGGACUCGCGGCUUAUCAGCUUGUUGGUGGGGUAGUGGCUUACCAAGGCUUUGACGGGUAGCCGGCCUGAGAGGGUGACCGGCCACAUUGGGACUGAGAUACGGCCCAGACCCCUACGGGAGGCAGCAGUGGGGAAUAUUGCACAAUGGGCGGAAGCCUGAUGCAGCAACGCCGCGUGCGGGAUGACGGCCUUCGGGUUGUAAACCGCUUUCGCCUGUGACGAAGCGUGAGUGACGGUAAUGGGUAAAGAAGCACCGGCUAACUACGUGCCAGCAGCCGCGGUGAUACGUAGGGUGCGAGCGUUGUCCGGAUUUAUUGGGCGUAAAGGGCUCGUAGGUGGUUGAUCGCGUCGGAAGUGUAAUCUUGGGGCUUAACCCUGAGCGUGCUUUCGAUACGGGUUGACUUGAGGAAGGUAGGGGAGAAUGGAAUUCCUGGUGGAGCGGUGGAAUGCGCAGAUAUCAGGAGGAACACCAGUGGCGAAGGCGGUUCUCUGGGCCUUUCCUGACGCUGAGGAGCGAAAGCGUGGGGAGCGAACAGGCUUAGAUACCCUGGUAGUCCACGCUGUAAACGGUGGGUACUAGGUGAGGGGUCCAUUCCACGGGUUCCGUGCCGUAGCUAACGCUUUAAGUACCCCGCCUGGGGAGUACGGCCGCAAGGCUAAAACUCAAAGGAAUUGACGGGGCCCCGCACAAGCGGCGGAGCAUGCGGAUUAAUUCGAUGCAACGCGUAGAACCUUACCUGGGUUUGACAUGGAUCGGGAGUGCUCAGAGAUGGGUGUGCCUCUUUUGGGGUCGGUUCACAGGUGGUGCAUGGCUGUCGUCAGCUCGUGUCGUGAGAUGUUGGGUUAAGUCCCGCAACGAGCGCAACCCUUGUUCACUGUUGCCAGCACGUUAUGGUGGGGACUCAGUGGAGACCGCCGGGGUCAACUCGGAGGAAGGUGGGGAUGACGUCAAGUCAUCAUGCCCCUUAUGUCCAGGGCUUCACGCAUGCUACAAUGGCUGGUACAGAGAGUGGCGAGCCUGUGAGGGUGAGCGAAUCUCGGAAAGCCGGUCUCAGUUCGGAUUGGGGCCUGCAACUCGACCUCAUGAAGUCGGAGUCGCUAGUAAUCGCAGAUCAGCAACGCUGCGGUGAAUACGUUCCCGGGGCU
rnacentral:rRNA from 1 species